GUCCACGCCCUAAACGAUGUCAACUAGUUGUCGGGUCUUAAUUGACUUGGUAACGCAGCUAACGCGUGAAGUUGACCGCCUGGGGAGUACGGUCGCAAGAUUAAAACUCAAAGGAAUUGACGGGGACCCGCACAAGCGGUGGAUGAUGUGGAUUAAUUCGAUGCAACGCGAAAAACCUUACCUACCCUUGACAUGUACGGAAUUCUGCUGAAAGGUGGAGGUGCUCGAAAGAGAGCCGUAACACAGGUGCUGCAUGGCUGUCGU
rnacentral:rRNA from 1 species